AGGAAAGGGGGGGGGGUGUCUAAUCCCUGCAAGUCGCGCGAACAGACGAGGAGCUUGCUCCUCUGACGUUAGCGGCGGACGGGUGAGUAACACGUGGAUAACCUACCUAUAAGACUGGGAUAACUUCGGGAAACCGGAGCUAAUACCGUAUAAUAUAUUGAACCGCCUGGUUCAAUAGUGAAGGACGGUUUUGCUGUCACUUAUAUAUGGAUCCGCGCCGCAUUAGCUAGUUGGUAAGGUAACGGCUUACCAAGGCAACGAUGCGUAGCCGACCUGAGAGGGUGAUCGGCCACACUGGAACUGAGACACGGUCCAGACUCCUACGGGAGGCAGCAGUAGGGAAUCUUCCGCAAUGGGCGAAAGCCUGACGGAGCAACGCCGCGUGAGUGAUGAAGGUCUUCGGAUCGUAAAACUCUGUUAUUAGGGAAGAACAAAUGUGUAAGUAACUAUGCACGUCUUGACGGUACCUAAUCAGAAAGCCACGGCUAACUACGUG
rnacentral:rRNA from 1 species